rnacentral:rRNA from 1 species
UACGUAGGUGGCAAGCGUUGUCCGGAUUUAUUGGGUUUAAAGGGUGCGUAGGCGGUUUUGUAAGUCAGUGGUGAAAAAUGUCAGCUUAAAUGAGAGGGUGCCAUUGAUAAUGCAGAACUUGAGUACAGAUGAGGUAGGCGGAAUUGACGGUGUAGCGGUGAAAUGCUUAGAUAUCGUCAAGAACACCUAUAGCGAAGGCAUCUUACUAGGCUGUAACUGACGCUGAGGCACGAAAGUGUGGGGAUCAAACAGG